rnacentral:rRNA from 1 species
UACAGAGGGUGCGAGCGUUGUUCGGAAUCACUGGGCGUAAAGCGCACGUAGGCGGCUUUUUAAGUCAGGGGUGAAAUCCUGGAGCUCAACUCCAGAACUGCCUUUGAUACUGAGAAGCUUGAGUCCGGGAGAGGUGAGUGGAACUGCGAGUGUAGAGGUGAAAUUCGUAGAUAUUCGCAAGAACACCAGUGGCGAAGGCGGCUCACUGGCCCGGUACUGACGCUGAGACGCGAAAGCGUGGGGAGCGAACAGG